rnacentral:rRNA from 1 species
UGUCUGGCGGCAGUAGCGCGGUGGUCCCACCUGACCCCAUGCCGAACUCAGAAGUGAAACGCCGUAGCGCCGAUGGUAGUGUGGGGACUCCCCA